CCUACGGGUGGCAGCAGUGAGGAAUAUUGGUCAAUGGGAGAGAUGCUGAACCAGCCAAGCCGCGUGAGGGAAGACGGCUCUAUGGGUUGUAAACCUCUUUUGUCGGAGAACAAAACUCUGGACGUGUCCCGAUCUGCGUGUAUCCGAAGAAAAAGCAUCGGCUAACUCCGUGCCAGCAGCCGCGGUAAUACGGAGGAUGCGAGCGUUAUCCGGAUUUAUGGGGUUUAAGGGGUGCGUAGGCGGUCUGUUAAGUCAGCGGUAAAAUUGUGGGGCUCAACCCCGUCGUGCCGUUGAAACUGGCAGACUUGAGUUGGCGAGAAGUACGCGGAAUGCGCGGUGUAGCGGUGAAAUGCAUAGAUAUCGCGCAGAACUCCGAUUGCGAAGGCAGCGUACCGGCGCCAGACUGACGCUGAGGCACGAAAGCGUGGGGAUCGAACAGGAUUAGAUACCCUGGUAGUC
rnacentral:rRNA from 1 species